AACGAACGCUGGCGGCAUGCCUAACACAUGCAAGUCGAACGAGACCUUCGGGUCUAGUGGCGCACGGGUGCGUAACGCGUGGGAACCUGCCCUUAGGUUCGGAAUAACUCCCCGAAAGGGGUGCUAAUACCGGAUAAUGUCUUCGGACCAAAGAUUUAUCGCCUUUGGAUGGGCCCGCGUUGGAUUAGCUAGUUGGUAGGGUAAAAGCCUACCAAGGCGACGAUCCAUAGCUGGUCUGAGAGGAUGAUCAGCCACACUGGGACUGAGACACGGCCCAGACUCCUACGGGAGGCAGCAGUGGGGAAUAUUGGACAAUGGGCGAAAGCCUGAUCCAGCAAUGCCGGGUGAGUGAUGAAAGCCUUAGGGUUGUAAAGCUCUUUUACCCGGGAUGAUAAUGACAGUACCGGGAGAAUAAGCUCCGGCUAACUCCGUG
rnacentral:rRNA from 1 species